rnacentral:rRNA from 1 species
GACGAACGCUGGCGGCGUGCUUAACACAUGCAAGUCGAACGGUAAGGCCCUUCGGGGUACACGAGUGGCGAACGGGCGAGUAACACGUGGGUGAUCUGCCCUGCACUUCGGGAUAAGCCUGGGAAACUGGGUCUAAUACCGGAUAUGACCACUGCCUGCAUGGGUGGUGGUGGAAAGCUUUUGCGGUGUGGGAUGGGCCCGCGGCCUAUCAGCUUGUUGGUGGGGUGAUGGCCUACCAAGGCGACGACGGGUAGCCGGCCCGAGAGGGUGACCGGCCACACUGGGACUGAGAUACGGCCCAGACUCCUACGGGAGGCAGCAGUGGGGAAUAUUGCACAAUGGGCGCAAGCCUGAUGCAGCGACGCCGCGUGAGGGAUGACGGCCUUCGGGUUGUAAACCUCUUUCAGCACCGACGAAGCGCAAGUGACGGUAGGUGCAGAAGAAGGACCGGCCAACUACGUGCCAGCAGCCGCCGUAAUAC